UAGAAUCCGUAAAUGCGCGUAAGUUGUUUUGUUUUUUAACGCGCUGCGAUUUCGUUUUUUUUUAUUGGAGGAAAACGAGCAGCGUGUCUGGACACAGACUCGGACGUGUUCGCAUUGAGGAAACGAGCGCGUUUAGAUAUUCCAAUAUAGGAAAACUUGAAAGUGCAUGGACAGUGGUUGGGUAUCUAAACGCAGGUGAGCCACUGACUAACGCACAUUGUGCCCAAUGCCAGUUCCACUGUGCGUGUGACAGCGGCUAACCUGCUUUUGGGAAUACUUCUCGCACGGAUCAUUCUGCAAGAAGUCCAAAAUCGUGUCCCGGCAUUGCUGAGGGGCGUCCUGCCCCUCCCCUUUCACACAGACUUACUGUACUUUAUUUAGGGCCCCAUUCAACAUGCCUGUGCACAGACGACUUUAGAUCUGACCUCAGUGACCGACUCUAUACUGUCUUAGGAUAUUUCACUUUUCUAUACCAGUGGAUUUGUUGUGAUCAUCUGGUGGCAUAAAGUUAUUUAUUCCCCUUAAUGGUAUGGUCAGCCCGAAAUCUGUGCAGGAAGUGCACUUAGAUAUGAUGCAUCGGUGGUAGAAGUCCAAAAAGUAUUCUAUCCACAUCAUGUCCUGUGUAAUGAAGUGUUUUUUUUAAGAUGCUGUUGUUUUUACCAAAUAAAACAUGCAAUAUGAA